AACCUCACCCAGUGCUCUGCAAAGAGCUGUGUUGGUCGAGUGUUUUACUGUUUCUGUUUGAUUUUCUGUUUUCUGCAUGUUCACUUAAGACUGCUAGAACACACCAAAACCUGUUAUUGCUUGGCUUGACUUAGUGACUUCUGAUCACAUCUUGAUUGUUAGUGUUGGGGUCGGAUUUGACCCAGGAUAGCGAGCCGACCUAUGAGUCACCGCCUCGGGAGCCAUCGAUGAAUUAUCCCGAACCAGACUAAAACACCUCGGAGUUUUCGUCAAGAACCCAUACCGAGGUGAUGUCGAGAACGCUU
rnacentral:sRNA from 1 species